CCACUUGUUCAUCUGGUCCUUCAUCUGUGAUGAUAUGUUCCAUCACAAUGCAAUUUUUUACUAUCAGCGUAUGAAGUUGUGGUAGGCCCAAAGCCAUGGAAAGUGUAAAAAGGCACCUCAGGGUGCUACAAUCAUCGACUUCUAAAACUUCAAGACGUUUGAAGGGUAAAAUUCUUUGAGGAUUUUGUAUCUUCGUGAACUCAGAAGUAUCAGAGAGUCUCAAAUGGUGAUAUUCAACCUAUGGAAUCCAAUGAAUUGGACUAGUUAGUACAAUAAUAAUUAAAAUUGUUAAAACCUAAAACAAUACUCUUUAUUUAAAAAAAGAAAACUGAUAUAAUUAAUAGGUUCAAACUAAAUUAGAACCAAUUUUAGUUCUUUAUAGAUAUGUAAUUAAUUUGCAUUUAAAAUAGUACAAAAAAAAAAGACAACAGAGGAAAGACUAGAUGCUUUACUAUUUUAAAUAGUAUAAUUACAUAACAUUCUUCAAACAGCCGUUUGAAGAAAAAAUUUUAAAUUGAUGCUUUACUAUUUUAUACAUUUUGUAAUCAUAAGGAAUAUCGUAUUGAAAGAGAAAAACAAGAAUUUUUGAAUUAGCUACGCAUUGAAGCCCCAAAACUACACUUUUAUAGUAAAUUUCUUUAUUAAUAGCUAGAAGCUCUAUGCUAAAUUAAUAAACUAAUUCUGCAACAAUUCUACAUUAAAUAUUAGUAAAUUUCACAGUCUUUUACCGUAAGGUAUCGCAGAUUACAAAAUGAAUUCAUAGUGACCUUAUCAUCCCAUAUUUUCCUCAAUUCCCUCGUGCCUUCAAUAUGCAAAUAAUAUAAACGAGGGAAUGCCACCUGUAGAAUUUAUUUUCUUUGUUAAUGAGGGAAAAUAAAUUGUAGUCCUACAAGAUAAGAUACAAGAAAGGGUUGGGAAAGUAACAAUUUCAAUAUUAGAAUAAAUGUAUACAACUAAUAGAGGGAAAAAAAAGCAAAAAAAUAUUAAUACAAACAUAAUGAAAAAUGUUACCUUCUAUUCAUUUUAUUUUUCUUUCCUCGCUUUUUCCCCUUCCCCCUUUUUGAUUAGGAAGCAAAAUAAGUCUCUGCGCAGAGACUACAAUCAAGUUUUUCAAAUCUUUUUUGUAUUAUUAAGUUUGCUUUUUUGUUUUUUUUGAAUUGGGAGCAUAUGAAUAUCGAAUGUAUCCAUUUUUUAAUUAUUUUAUUUUACAAAUCCUCAUUUUUCUUUUCUACAAAAGAAGACAUUUUCUUUUCUUAUGUUACAAAGACAUUUACAUUUUCUACACUUUUUGCUUUUCUUAUGAUUUGAACUUUUGAAUUAUUAGUUCUCAACACGUGUCGCAUGUAUAAGUACAUAUAUUUAAAAAAAAUUGACUUUAAGAAUAAUCUUAAUAAUGAUGAUAAAUAGAGGAAUUUACUUUAAUUAUAAUGUAAAUUUGCUUAAAUGACAAUGCAAUUUGUCCUUUAAAUUUGGAAACAGUUUAUUUUGAAUUUUCCUAUAGAUAUUAAAUAUUUGCAUAUAUAAAUAUGUCUAAGUUUUCAUAUUAAACAAAAAUAUUUUGACCAAUUUGUUAAUUUACAUGUUCAUAACCAUAGAUUUUAUGUAGCUAUUUUGCACAUUAUCAAGUAUAUUUGAGUGGACUAAAAGCCUAGGACCAUUAAGAUUAAACAAAAGAGAACUCUAGAAAAGGAAAAACCAUAUAUUUGAGUGGCCUUAACAAAAUAAUUUUUAAAAAAUAACCACCAUAAAAAUUAAUUUCUCAAAAUAAAAUCCUUUUAAAAUUUAUUAAAAUAAAAUAGAAACAAAAUAUACUAACUGUGUUAUCGAAAAAGGCAAUAUCAACAAUUCCCUUGGAAAGCUUUUUCAAGGAGAAUUCAUAGUUGCUUCUAUGACAGAAUCUCGUGAGAUUGGGAAGGUCUCGGAGCUCCAAAAGUUCUAGUUUAGGAAAAACUUGGCCCAUCAUAUCUUCUUCUAUAUCCUCUGUGACUAUUAUCUCUUUUAAGCACUUGCAUCCAUUUAUUUCAAAGCUUUUGAGAUGUGUUAGACUUCUACACAUAGAAAAUGAUAGUAUGUGUUUUAAAUUGUGACAAUCCUCAAUGGCCAAACUUGUCAAAUUCUGAAGGUAGUUACAAAAGAUUGAAGAUUGGUUGGGCCAUAUCCUUUCAACAUUGAGUGAGUCCAAUCGUAGCUUCUCCAAGCAAGGGAACUUUAUCUACACAAAUGUAAUUCUUAUACAUUAAAAAUUAUUAAAAAACAUAAAAAAUUCAAAUUUCAAUAUAAUAAUUACAUAACAUUCAUGCUAUAUAUAAAAAAGAGUGAUGUUUUUUUUAUAGCAUAAAUGCAAUAAGAAAAGGAGAGUAUAGUCACCUUUUCAUUGAAGAGAUGAAGGAAAUUGAUCUCUGAGUUCUUUUCUUCUGCUUUUUGGAUAAUAUGAAUUUCAUUUGCCAUGGUAGAUUUGGAGAUAAAUGUCUUGAAUGCAGGACAAUCCCCUAUAAUAAGCUCUUUCAACAAGGGGAGUUCAAAGUUACUUCCAUGGCACAAUCUUGUGAGAUUGGGAAGGUCUCGGAGCUUCAAAAGUUCUAGUUUAGGGAAAACCCGGCCCAUCAUAUCUUCUUCUAUAUCUUCUGUGACUAUUAUCUCCUUUAAACAAUUGCAUCCAUUUAUUUCAAAACUUUUGAGAUGUACUAGACUUCGGCACACAGAAAAUGAUAGUAUGUGUUUUAAAUUGUGACAACCCCCAAUGGUCAAACUUGUCAAAUUUUGGAGGUAGUUAGAAAUGAUUGAAGAUUGGUUGGGCCAUAUCCUUUCAACAUUGAGUAAUUCCAAUUCCAACUUCUCCAAGCAAGGGAACUUCAUCUACACAAAUGUAAUUUUCAUACAUUAAAAAUUAUUACAAAACACAAAAAAAUUCAAGUUUCGAUAUAACAAUUACAUAAUAUUUAUGCUUUAUAUAAAAAAAAUGAAUGAUGUUUGUGAAUGCAGUGAUAGUGCAGUUAAGGAGAAAUUACUUCCCAUUCUAAUGACGAAAUGAUUUGGAAUAAAUUUUAAAAAAGACAGUUGAAAAAAAAUAUCAAUUUUUAAGUCAUAAUCUUAAAAAAAAAUAAAACACUACCAAAGGGUGAAAAACCAAUGACAUAAUCAUUAAUGAGUCAAGGAACCUAAGAGGAAUGACAGGAAUUUAUCUUAUACGUGUUCUAACAUUUGAAUGAACAAAAGAUAAAGAAAUACCUCUUCACCGAAAAGUGCCAAGUCAUGUUGAGGUGUGGAAGUAGAGCCCCCUGGACUGUUUUUAGAGCAGAAGCUAAUGAGCUGUGGUAAAUCUGCAAGGAUCAACUGUUGUAAUUGCUGAAAUUCAAUUUUAUCAAUUGCAUCGUCAUCUUUCAUGAUAUAUUGUAUCUCCGAACAAAGUCGGAUGUGAAUGUGCUUUAAAUGCAAAAGACCUUCCCUAUUGCCCACCUCGCUGAAAACAAUCUUGGCACCUUUUAGACCUUCCAGAUAAAAAGCUGUUGAUUUCAUCAAUAAACAUUGCACCCUAUCAUCCAGUUGAUUGAUGUUUGUAUUUAGCUUGAGUUUUAGCGCUCUCGAGAAUUCAAUCUCGCCAUGCCAGUAAGAAAGACUUCCAAUGAAAAUCCUUUAUCUUUUCAAUUUUUCAGCGAACAGGCUGAAAAGGUCAUAUGGCACAAUCUUGACAUCAGGAAUACCAGCAUUUAAAGUGGUCAAACAAGGCAAAUCCCUCAAUUCAUCAAGACGAGCAUUGCUUCCUUCGUUCCAACCAUCAAAACUCCUACCCAUAUAUAAUUCUUCUAAUUUGGACAAAUUUGAUAAAACACCUGCUGGAAUUUUAAGAUCGUAACAAUCGCUCAGAUCUAAUAAUCUUAGCUCAGUCAAUUGUCCUGUUUCCUCAGGUAGCAUUUCAAUAUCAGAACCGAAAAGGUUAAGAAUUUCUAGAUUCUUGAGUUUUUCAAGAUUGACCAUGUCUCCCAGCACACAUUGAUUUAGGCACAAUGUUCGAAGACUCGUCGGGAGACUAAUUGGGGAAAAUUUGAUUUAAUAAAAUCUAAGACUUUGAGAUUUUUCAUUUUCUCAAAAAAGUAAGCUGGCAUUUCCACAUCAGAAUCCUUGCUACCCAUACAGAAAAAAUCAAGUUGUGGACAUUCCAACUCAUGAGGAAGCUUCUCAACACUAUCAAAACUCAAACUAAUCAUUUUGAACUUUGUCAUCCUCUCUUCAUCAGGCCAUUCGUCAAAAACACCCUUACGUUUCAAUGCAAAUGCAUGGUUGUCCCUAGAGGCAAUUGCUAAGGCCACAUCACAAUCGAAGUCAUGCAUAUCGAAGCGCUCAUCGCUGUAACUAUCGCGCAACAAACAAAAGGCUUUGAGGUCACUUACCAGAGUCAACACUCUGUUUCGCGUGUCUUCUACUGUGUUGGCAGUAUCAAAUAAACGUAAACCCAUGCCAUAUCUCACCAAGUCUUCAACGCGAGCAUUAUGGCCUAGAAGACCGCAAGACAAGAAAGUCCUUUUGUGUUCCUCGCUGACUAAAGAAUUGUAACUCAGCUCUAUGGCUGAGUAUACAGCUGCUGGUAUCCUUGUGAAGUUGCUUGGAGAAGGCCUCUGAAGUUGCGCGAGAGCAUCCUUCCAUGCAUAUAACUCUUUGCUUCUCAAAGCUCUUGCGACUGUCACAAUGGCGACGGGUAAUCCUUCACACUUUUUGGCUACCUCUGUUGCUACAGGUUGUAACUCAAGAUCUUCAAAAUUGUUCUCAGCCAUCUCCUUAAACAGGUUCCAAGCUUCUGUUUCAUUCAAAACAUCGAUUGCAAAAGGAUUCUUAACAGCCAUCUCAUUGGUUAGAACAUAUCGAUUUCUUGACGUCAACAGUAUCUUGCAUUCCUCGAGUUGAUCUCCAAAAGGAAUUCCGACUUGCUCUAGAUCUAGUCUCGCCCAAACAUCAUCUAAAACAACUAGAAUCUUCUUCUCCUUCUUCAACCUAUCCGACAACGAACGUGCUCUAGCCGGUAUAGUUUUUUCUUCUAAUUUUAAUCGCAAUGAUUCUGCAAUUGCAUUGACAUUUUUCUCAAUGUCAAAAAUCUCGUUUCUUGAAUCAAAAUCCCUAAAAUUUUUAGAUGGUGCACCCCCCGGGGCUGGUGGAACACGACAGUAUCCCACUUUGUUAAAUUGACUAUGUUUGAGAAGGUCGUCAACAGUCGUGCCAGCUUGUUCUGCUUUCUUGCUAAGCUGGUACCGAGACUUGAUAUUGGGACACCAAGUCAAAGAAGCACUUGUUCUUUGCUUUGUCUUCAAGAUCCUUCACUUUCUUCUUCUCUUCAUUGAUUGCCUCGUCCACUUUAUCGCACCAUUGCUGGACGUCCGGUUUUAUCUCCUUCACGUUCCUUUUUGCAGCAUCAACCUCUAGAUGCACACUUUCUCUUUUUGUUAUCAAUGACUUCAUUUUCUCCUCGAACUUAUCAACAUUUUUCUUGUAGACGAAUACAUAUCUCAUAUGACGUUUAAUUUCUUGAAAGAUGCCUCUCGCAGCCUCCGAACAAACAUUGGCAAUGGCGCCAAUAGCACAACCUUCCAUGCUUUUUAUUCAACAGACAAGUAAAGCAAAUCACAGAAGAACAGAGACAAAAGGUAGCAGACCAAAAAUAAAAACAGCGAGAAGAAUAUAUCAGAAAACGAUGUGAGCAAGGAAAAUAAUCAGAAUGGUGAGAAAUUGGAAAUGGCGGCUUUCUCCAUUAGUUAUAGCUAUGAACAAAGAGGCAACUAAGAAUCAAAGUGAAAGGUUCUGGUUUUUUGGGUGGAAAGUAGAGGGAUGUGAGAAGCCGACGCUUUGAGGUGGAGAACAAGAGAAGAGAAGGAAACAACAGAGCAAGCGAAAAACAAAGAAAGGAAGAAAGAUAACAGUCAUGAGUUGAGCAGAAAAGUUGUAUUAAACAACAGAGGAAGCGAAAAAACAGGAAAGGAAGAACGAUAAUAGUGAUGAGUUGGGCAGAAACGUUUUAAACAACAGAGCAAGCUUAAUAGAUAUGUAAUUAAUUUGCAUUUAAAAUAGUACAAAAAAAAAGACAACAGAGGAAAGACUAGAUGCUUUACUAUUUUAAAUAGUAUAAUUACAUAACAUUCUUCAAACAGCCGUUUGAAGAAAAAAUUUUAAAUUGAUGCUUUACUAUUGUAUACAUUUUGUAAUCAUAAGGAAUAUCGUAUUGAAAGAGAAAAACAAGAAUUUUUGAAUUAGCUAUGCAUUGAAGCCCCAAAACUACACUUUUAUAGUAAAUUUCUUUAUUAAUAGCUAGAAGCUCUAUGCUAAAUUAAUAAACUAAUUCUGUAACAAUUCUACAUUAAAUAUUAGUAAAUUUCAUAAGGAACAACAUAUUGAAAGGUGAAAGCAUGAAUUGUUAAAUUAGCUAUACAUUCAAAGUCACCAAAAACUAUACCGUACAACCAUUUUCAGUGAACUCAUAACUCAUAACUACAUACUUCUUCCAUGGAUAGGAAGCUAAAGGCUUAGUUUUAUAUUUCCAGCAAGAUGCUUGCUGUCAUAAUUCAUACAUUUUCAGCGAAAUUCUUUCAAGCAAAGAGCAAAAUGCAGAAAAAAUCUGUUGUUACAAGCAAUGUAACAAUGGCAUGUUUUAAGCAUACUACGGAAGCCACACACUCAAGCAAUGUUGAAAUUCAGUUGGAACACACAAGGCUCUAAACUAAUGAUGCUAUACAAAGAAGAUUAUGAAAAAGUAGUAAGGAAAUUUUAUUGAAUUGAUGCAUACCUUUUUUUUAAACAAUUGCUGAAUAGUGGCAUUAAGGUUUCCUUCCCAAAGUCCUACAUAUUCACCUUCAGUCAAUCGUAUUCCGUGCAGCUUUGGUGUGCUUAUCUCUCCCUUUGAGAAUAUUUCCAUCUUUGGACAUUGUCUCAUGAUUACCUUUUUCAAGGAAGGGAAUCCAAGCGUAUAAUUCCCUGAGCAGAACCUUGAUACGCUCGGAAGACCACCAAGUUCUAAAGACCUCAGUUUAGAAAAUAUAAUGCCAUCCAUCACUUCAUCACUUGUAGAAGCUAUGAUUUCUUCUAACGUUUGGCAAUCUGUAACACUCAUUUGGUUAAGCAAUACCAUACUUUUAGCCACUGGGAAUGUUAAUAAAUUCAUUAAUCCAUGACAUUUUGAUACUUUCAGGGACAUCAAAUUUUUGAAAGAUGUCGAAGGUGGCACUAAAUUCUUUAGUUUACCACAUCCCGACACUUCUAAAUGUCUUAAGUUGUUGAAAACUACUCCAAGUGGAAUUUCUUCUUUGGAGAGAUGUGUGAGCUCAGGAAGUUCUGACAGCCUUAAUUCAGUGGCUGUUACUGCAUGUGAUUCAUUGGAAUUGAGUCAUUGAGGUCCAAUUAUUUCUUCUAAUGAAUCACAGUUCACUAUCUCCAAUUCAUAUAGUUCCUGAAGUCUUUCCAUCAUGUUAAAUGGAAAAAUAUUUGAAAGUCUUUCACAGUCUUUCACCGUAAGGUAUCGCAGCUUACAAAAUGAAUUCAUAGCGACCUUAUCAUCCCAUAUUUUCCUCAAUUGCCCCAGGCCUUCGAUACGCAAAAAAUCUAAACGAGGGAAUGCCACCUGUAGAAUUUAUUUUCUUUGUUAAUGAGGGAAAAUAAAUUGCAGUCCUACAAGAUAAGAUACAAGAAAGGGUUGGGAAAGUAACAAUUUUAAUAUUAGAAUAAAUAUAAACAACUAAUAGAGGGAAAAAAUGCAAAAAAAAUAAUAAUAAUAAAAGCGUAAUGGAAAAUUUUACCUUGUAUUUAUUUUAUUUUUCUUUCCUCACUUUUUCCCCUUUCCCCCAUUUUGAUUAGGAAGCAAAAUACGGCAUUUAUAUACGCGGAGACUACAAUUAAGUUUUUCAAAUCUUUUUUGUAUUAUUAAGUUUGCCUUUUUUUUUUGGACUGGGAGCAUAUGAAUAUCUAAUUUAUCUAUUUUUUUAAUUAUUUUAUUUUGCAAAUCCUCAUUUUUCUUUUCUACAAAAGAAGACAUUUUCUUUUCUUAUGUCACAAAGAUAUUUACAUAUACUAAACUUUUUGCUUUUCUUAUGAUUUGAACUUUUGAAUUAUUAGUUCUCAACACAUGUGUCGCAUGCAUAAAUACAUAUAUUUAAAACAAUUGACUUUAAAAAUAAUCUUAAUGAUAAUGAUAAAUAGAGAAAUUUACUUUAAUUAUAAUGUAAAUUUGCUUAAAUGACAAUGUAAUUUGUCCUUUAUAUUGGAAACAGUUUAUUUUGAAUUUUCUUUUGGAUAUUAAAUAUUUUCAUAUAUAAAUAUGUCUAAGUUUUAAUAUUAGACAAAAAAUAUUUUGACCAAUUUGUUAAUUUAAAUGUUCAUAACCAUAAUUUCAUAUAGCUAUUUUGUACAUUGUCAAGUAUAUUUGAGUGGGCUAAAAGCCUAAGAUCAUUAGGAUUAAACAAAAGAGAACACUAGAAAAGGAAAAACCAUUUAUUUGAGUGGUCUUAAAAAAUAAUUUUAAAAAAAUAACCACCAUGAAAAUUAAUUUCUUAAAAUAAAAUUCUUUUCAAAUUUAAAAAAAAAACCAAAAAUAAAAUAUACUAACCGUGUUAUCGAAAAAGGCAGUAUCAACAAUUCCCUUGGAAACCCAUGUUGUAUUUCCUCCAUCAAUAUCAUCAAUCGUUUCUAUUCUUUGCUCUCUUGAAAAUGCAGAUGCAAAUGCAAACAUUUGGGGACAACCAACCACUUCAAGUUCUUCCAAAGAUGGAAAUUCGAGUAUUUUGUUUCCUUGAUAGAAACUUGCCACUUGUUCAUCUGGUCCUUCCUCUUUGAUGAUAUGUUCCAUCACAAUGCAAUUUUUUACACUCAGCACACGGAGACGUGGUAGGCUCAAAGCCGUGGGAUGUGUAAAAACCCACCUCAAGCUGCUACAAUCAUGAACUUCUAAAAAUUCAAGAUAUUUGAAAGGUAAAAUUUCUUGAGGAUUUCCGCUCCAUAUUUUCAUCAACUCAGAAGUAUCAGAGAGUCUCAAAUUGCUGUAUCCAACCUAUGAAAUC
rnacentral:lncRNA from 1 species